UACGGAGGGGGCUAGCGUUGUUCGGAAUUACUGGGCGUAAAGCGCACGUAGGCGGCUUUGUAAGUUAGAGGUGAAAGCCCGGGGCUCAACUCCGGAAUUGCCUUUAAGACUGCAUCGCUAGAAUUAUGGAGAGGUAAGUGGAAUUCCGAGUGUAGAGGUGAAAUUCGUAGAUAUUCGGAAGAACACCAGUGGCGAAGGCGACUUACUGGACACAUAUUGACGCUGAGGUGCGAAAGCAUGGGGAGCAAACAGG
rnacentral:rRNA from 1 species